UGUCAGGACUCAGGUAACAAGUCAUGGCAGUUGAUUAACUCUCACCUGUAAACUUCUUCAUCGCUCUCGUCUUCACUCGCAGUGUGUUUGUUUCCGCUGAAGAUGGUCGCCCUUAGAGGACUUUAUCACAGUUUCUCCCGCCUGGCAAAAGUUACUGCAAAGAAGCAAUUGAGGAGAUAUGACAAAUGGUGCACCAUAGCCACUGGCAUCGUGGCGGACAGGAAGAGCCAGGCAGUGUCAGACGGAGAGUUGAACAUGUCUGCUCGCGGCUGUGGAGGCAGCAGCUCCAGUCUCCCAGGGACUCCCGGCGGAGACGUCACCCCAGCCAACAGUGUGCUGAGCUGGGCCGUCUCAUUUGAGAAGCUGCUGGAGGACCCCUGCGGCGUCCGCCACUUUACGACCUUCUUGAUGUCCGAGGUGAGCGCGGAGAACAUUUUAUUUUGGCAGGCUUGUGAAAAAUUCAGGAAGAUCCCAGCCAGCUCCUUGAACGAGCUGAAAGUGUCAGCUCGCUCCAUCUACAACACCUACCUGUCUGACAGCGCUCCCUACUCAGUCAACAUCGAUGACACAGCCAAGACAGAGGAGAAGGACCUGGAACAGCCCACACCUGACAUGUUUAACAAGGCUCAAGCACAGAUAUUUAAACUGAUGAAGAUGGACAGCUACAGGCGCUUUGUGCGCUCUCCUCUCUAUCAGAGCUGCACCUUGGCAAGUGUAGAAGGUAAACCUCUACCUCAGCUCUCCAAAGGGCCGGCUCGCAUGGGAUCCUGGGAGGACAUGGCUACCAGAAGCCCCUUAAAUGAUAAAAAGAACAAGUCGGACUCCAACAGCUUGCCAGGUGGCAAGAGUGCCUCGGAGAAACAGCGGCAGAAAAGAGGAUCCUGGGGAGAUGCAUCCGACAUCCAUGGUUCGGUCUCCCGGAAAGAUUCCCACAUGUCCGUCAAGUCAAGCAGCAGCGUGGAGCUCGGCUCCCUCCACAGGCAGGUGGAGAACGGCAGAUCAACUCCAGAGCAGGGUGGUGGUGGUGGAGGUGGGAGUCGAAUAGGAGUGGAGGGGGGCUACUGCUGUGUAUACCUACCCGAUGGCACUGCCUCCUUGGCCCCAACACGUAAUGGCCAACCCAUCAAAGACAUGCUGGCUAGCCUGUGUGAGAAGAGAGGCUUCCCGCUGAAAGAUGUCGUCAUCUACCUUCACGGCAAGGACAAGCCCUUAUCACUGGACCAGGACUGCUCCGUACUGAGAGAUCAGCAGGUCUCUCUGGAGCUCAGGGUGAUGUUUGCGCUGGAGAUUGCCUUCACUGGUAAGACAGUGGGGAUCAUGGUGAAGUCCAGUAAGACGCUGCAGGACACACUCUCUGCCGUGCUGCAGAAACAUCACCUCAAGCCACAAGAGGCUGUGGUCACCAUGGUUGGAAGCGACGAGCCCGUGAACAUGACAGGCCCUGUGUUCAGACUGGCCAAUAAGACGCUACGGCUCGACAAAACUAAAGGAAAAGACCAGACCAACAUUUCCAAAGGCAGCGGGUCUGCUGCAGCCACACAGGCAGGAGCAGUGAGCGCAGGCGGAGGGGAGGCCCGAUCAGUGCUUCAGACAGACAAAGCCAAGACUCAGCACAAGCCCAGUAAGAACCGCGACAUGGAGGUGUUUCUGGACAUGCUGACGAGGGCUCAGGGCUGCAGGGUUGAUGACCAGCGAGGCCUUUUGACCAAAGAGCAGCUGGAGCUGCCUCUGUUCCUGCAGCUGCCCUCAGACCGGGGACAGGACACAGAGCCAGGUGAACCUGGUACAACCAGCUCCUCCUCUGCAGACUCCAAAGAGGACAAUGUGAAAGAAGAAGAGACGUCGAGUUCAGGUGGUGCAACGGCGGAAACCUCGAACUCUGCUGAGCCUGAGGCCAAAAACUUACGGGAAACAGCAGUUUGAAAGACUUGUGUGUGUGUGUGUGUGUGUGUGUGUGUGUGUGUGUGUGGGAUGGACAAUAUCAGAAACUACGGCAAACAUCUUGCAAUGUCAUGUGACCAUCAUGUCAAAAGAUGGGAAAAAUGGUCAAGCACUUUUUAUAACUGUUUACAAAUAAGCUCUGAGACAGCAGUGUGGUAUCAUCUCUCCUGAUAACUUCCUCUUGAGGCAAAAUGAAAGACGAAGAAGAAGAAGAAAGAUCAUGGCAAACAUUAAUAGUGUCAUUUCAAAACACUACAGGUUAAUUGGUAGAAAGUUUGCCAUGAAUUGUUUAAUGUAUCAAAAAUGUUUGAGAAGAAGUUUCAGUUCAACAUUUCAGCCUGAAGCCAGUGUGUUUGCUCGAGUGUUUCCUGACGGAUUAAUGUUGUACAGUUUGUAGAUUACUUUGCUUUAAUUUCUCACAGUCUCACAUUUCAGGCUUUUCUUUGAACUCUAAGCAAAGACAUGUUUCUGCACAGGACUGUCCAGAAGGGCGUAUUGAAGUGUAUUGCACUUUUUUUUUUCUCUUUAUUCGAAUUAAGAUUAUUGAAUAUUUUACUGAGAUGAGUUUUAAAUAUUUUAAAUUAGCAGUGUUCAUUUUGUGUGCUUACUUAAUGUUUUCAAAUGGGUUGUUUUUUUGCGGUACUUCUCCAUCUUGUUUGCUGUGAUGGCACUUUGAGAAGCCCUGGUCAAGUCCUGUUUUCCCUUCUCACCUCAGACUACAUCUCAGGGUCCAGAUCAUGAAUUAGUAAUCUGAUAUUACAGGGAAUGAAUCAGAUGAUGUGAUCAUCAGAAAAUAUCCCACAGGGUGUGUCCAAAGAAUUAAAGUGUUUCAUGAUGAAAUGUGAUCCUUUCCAUCUGUAUUUGUUGUUGGGGGAAGACAUCAGCUUUCAGCUUUCAGCUCUCUGUGAGAGGAAGUUUUUUGGGUGAAUCACUGAGGUCAGUUUCUGGCUUGACAAAUGCUACGUGAUUUGAUUUUAUAUGUGGGGCAGCCAGACCCCUCUGCCCCUGUGGAAAGGCUGCAUGACUCAUGCAGUGUAAAACAAGCCAAUGUGAAUCUUGCAGUGAAGGUGUCAAUUGUAACUAGCUUUGAUUACAUUAUAUUAUCCUGGGCGAGAAACCCAAAAUGCCAUCAUGUAAUGACGUCAUUUUUGCACAGUGACGGCUGAUCGUUGCAGCGCUGUGAUUGGCUCUUUGUCCAGGCUUUGUAGCCAAUGGCUUGCCUCAUCUGUACACCGACUUGUUGCUGGAAGGUGUUUGUCAGGAGCCUAGGAGAAUUGUUAUGGGGUGCAUCUGGCUAUUGUAUAGGUUACAAAACAAAUUAGAUGAGUCAUCGAUGGACUCAUCACCAACGAUGAUGUCAGCAGCAUGUAUAUAUCAGAGUACGUGACAGUAUGUGGUGUGUGAAUCGUCGCAUUCACCCACUUUGUAGAUUGGAUUGUCUCUGAAGUAAUUAACAAUUAGGCAGUUAGCAGACGUGUGGAGGAAAACAAUAUUGUGCACUAUAUGAUACCUGUUUGUCACGCCCACAGUUUCCGUCUGCCAGGCUGAAAACAUUAGCAUACAGAGCUGUGAUUGGCACACCUGGCGUUUAUAUGUAUGUGUGUGUGUGUGUGUGUGUGUGUCCAUGCAUGAGUGGUGCGUUGGCGGAGCUAUGAAUGGGCAGAGAGGGGUGUGCUCUCACAGACACCAUAGCAGCAGUGGGAUGAGGAGUGCCAUCUACUCCACUGCACGUCUGUACUGAGAGAAGGAAGGAGGGAGAAAAGGAGUUGCGCAACCACAGUAUUCCAAAAGAUAUCAUCUAAUCCUAUACCUGCAUCUACACUCCCCCCUCUCCUGAGAUAAAUCUUCAAACCAGCCAUGGAACAGAAGGCGAGUGAGUGUCCCUCCACCACCUCUCCUCAGAAGCACAUGAAGAACAGGUCCAAAUCCACAGAGGAGAUGCAACAGACGAAGAAGUCCUUUUCCUCACAAAAAUCCCUACCAGGCAGACCAGAGCUGGAGAGAGUGAAGGAGUGUCCCGACGGCUCUGACACGCCGUCGUCCUCCACGGAGGAACUGAAGGGAUAACUGGAGGGACAUAUGAGUUGCCAUCAAGUGACAAGAUCAUCAUAAACACUACAUACAUUAAAAUGUACAUAUGUACACAGGGAAACAUAAAAACAUUAGGAAAGGUAGUUGUGAACUAGAUUAUAAAAAAACACAAGCAAUGAGCUUCUGAUUGGUUGAAGGAAACGGUAUAAAGACAUGGUAAACUGAACACACAGACUCAUGCACAUUGAAACAAUCGCAUGUAAACAAAAGGACACCCGUGAUGAUGCUGUUUCAUUGUACUGUGAGUAUUGUAUACAUACCACACUGAACGUGUACUGACAAUAAAGUGAUGCUGUCGAGUGAA